UCACUAUGUAGUUCAGGCUAGCUUUGAACUCACUCUGUAGCCCAGGUUGGCCUUGAACUCCUGGAUGAUCCUCUUGCCUCAGCCUCCCAAGUACUGGGAUUACAGGAAUGUGCAACCAUGCCUG
rnacentral:miRNA from 1 species